UCCUGGAUAGCUCAGUAGGUAGAGCAUGAGACUCUUAAUCUCAGGGUCACGGAUUUGAGGUCCACGUUGGGCA